rfam:Jejuia pallidilutea DNA, contig: NODE_76_1/3, strain: JCM 19538.
GGUUAUCGAAGGAUAAGAUUAAGACCUUAAUUCAUAACUAC